rnacentral:rRNA from 1 species
AUAGCGUAUAUUAAAGUUGCUGCAGUUAAAAAGCUCGUAGUUGGAUUUCUGACGAAACUGCUAGCUGGCCCGUCACGUCAGUGAUGUGUGCCGGCUUGGCGUUUGUCAUCCGUUCGAAUGAUAUGCGCGCUGCCCUUCACUGGGUUGGUGCUGCAUGUUUUCGAUCUUUUACUUUGAAAAAAUUAGAGUGUUUCAAGCAGGCAUGUUUGCUAUGAAUACAUUAGCAUGGAAUAAUAAUCUAGGACUUUCGGUUCUAUUUUGUUGGUGUUCUGGAGCUGAAGUAAUGAUUGAUAGGGAUAGUUGGGGGUGCUAGUAUUCAAUGGCCAGAGGUGAAAUUCUCGGAUUCCUUGAAGACUAACUUAUG